rnacentral:rRNA from 1 species
GACGAACGUUGGCGGCGUGCUUAAUACAUGCAAGUCAACUGAAGCAGUGGUAGCAAUAUCGCUGUGGAGGUGGCGCACGGGUGAGUAACACGUAGGUAAUCUGCCUUCAGGUCUGGCAUAACUCCGGGAAACCGGGGCUAAUAGCAGAUGAUGCAGCGGCUCGACAUCGAGACAGUUGUUAAAGCUAUGGCGCCUGAAGAUGAGCCUGCGUCUGAUUAGCUAGUUGGCGGGGUAACGGCCCACCAAGGCAACGAUCAGUAGCUGGUCUGAGAGGAUGAUCAGCCACACUGGAACUGAGACACGGUCCAGACUCAUACGGGAGGCAGCAGUAAGGAAUAUUGCUGAAUGGGAGAAAUCCUGAAGCAGCAACGCAGCGUGAGGGACGAAGGGCUUGUGCUUGUAAACCUCUGUAGUGAGAGAAAAAAAUCCCAAUCUUUGGGACAUGAUGGUAUCUCAAAAGUAAGCCCCGGCUAACUACGUG